rnacentral:rRNA from 1 species
AUUGAACGCUGGCGGCAGGCCUAACACAUGCAAGUCGAACGAGUGGCGUACGGGUGAGUAAUGUCUGGGAAUCUGCCUGAUGGAGGGGGAUAACUACUGGACACUGUAGCUAAUACCGCAUACCAUCAGAUGUGCCCAGAUGGGAUUAGCUAGUUGGUGGGGUAAAGGCUCACCAAGGCGACGAUCCCUAGCUGGUCUGAGAGGAUGACCAGCCACACUGGAACUGAGACACGGUCCAGACUCCUACGGGAGGCAGCAGUGGGGAAUAUUGCACAAUGGGCGAAAGCCUGAUGCAGCCAUGCCGCGUGUAUGAAGAAGGUCUUCGGGUUGUAAAGCACUUUCAGCGGGGAGGCGUUACCAGCAGAAGAAGCACCGGCUAACUCCGUGCCAGCAGCCGCGGUAAUUC